rnacentral:rRNA from 1 species
GGGGGAAGGUAGCUUGCUACCGGACCUAGCGGCGGACGGGUGAGUAAUGCUUAGGAAUCUGCCUAUUAGUGGGGGACAACAUCUCGAAAGGGAUGCUAAUACCGCAUACGUCCUACGGGAGAAAGCAGGGGAUCUUCGGACCUUGCGCUAAUAGAUGAGCCUAAGUCGGAUUAGCUAGUUGGUGGGGUAAAGGCCUACCAAGGCGACGAUCUGUAGCGGGUCUGAGAGGAUGAUCCGCCACACUGGGACUGAGACACGGCCCAGACUCCUACGGGAGGCAGCAGUGGGGAAUAUUGGACAAUGGGGGGAACCCUGAUCCAGCCAUGCCGCGUGUGUGAAGAAGGCCUUAUGGUUGUAAAGCACUUUAAGCGAGGAGGAGGCUACUUUAGUUAAUACCUAGAGAUAGUGGACGUUACUCGCAGAAUAAGCACCGGCUAACUCUGUGCCAGCAGCCGCGGUAAUACAGAGGGUGCGAGCGUUAAUCGGAUUUACUGGGCGUAAAGCGUGCGUAGGCGGCUUAUUAAGUCGGAUGUGAAAUCCCCGAGCUUAACUUGGGAAUUGCAUUCGAUACUGGUGAGCUAGAGUAUGGGAGAGGAUGGUAGAAUUCCAGGUGUAGCGGUGAAAUGCGUAGAGAUCUGGAGGAAUACCGAUGGCGAAGGCAGCCAUCUGGCCUAAUACUGACGCUGAGGUACGAAAGCAUGCGGAGCAGACAGGAUUAGAUACCCUGGUAGUCCAUGCCGUACACGAUGUCUACUACCCGUUGCGGCCUUUGAGGCUUUAGUGGCGCAGCUAACGCGAUAAGUAUACCGCCUGGGGAGUGCGGUCGCAAGACUAAGACUCAGAUGAAUUGACAGUGGACCGGCA